rnacentral:sRNA from 1 species
CCUGGGUUGAUGGUACCGCGCACGCCUGUAGUCCCAGCUGCCGGGGAGGCUGAGCCCGACGGAUCGCUUGAGCCCAGGAGUUCUGGGCUGCUGUGCGCUGUGCCGAGUGGGUGUCCAAGCUAAGGCCUCCAUUAAUAUGGUGACCCGCGGGGAGCUGCGGGACACCAGGUUGACUAAGAAGGAGUUCAAGCCGCUUCGGAGGUGAUCGGCACAG